rnacentral:rRNA from 1 species
GACGAACGCUGGCGGCGUGCUUAACACAUGCAAGUCGAACGGAAAGGCCCUGCUUGUGUGUGGUGCUCGAGUGGCGAACGGGUGAGUAACACGUGAGUAACCUGCCCUUGACGUUGGGAUAACGUCAGGAAACUGGGUCUAAUACCGGAUAUGAGCUCCUGCUGCAUGGUGGGGGUUGGAAAGUUUCGGCGGUUGGGGAUGGACUCGCGGCUUAUCAGCUUGUUGGUGGAGUAGUGGCUUACCAAGGCUUUGACGGGUAGCCGGCCUGAGAGGGUGACCGGCCACAUUGGGACUGAGAUACGGCCCAGACUCCUACGGGAGGCAGCAGUGGGGAAUAUUGCACAAUGGGCGGAAGCCUGAUGCAGAAACGCCGCGUGCGGGAUGACGGCCUUUGGGUUGUAAACCGCUUUCGCCUGUGACGAAGCGUGAGUGACGGUAAUGGGUAAAGAAGCACCGGCUAACUACGUG